UUUCUUCUUGGUGGUUGUGUGCAUGCGGUGGGAUUGUGAGUGCGUGUGUGAGCCGUCGGCAAUGCUUCUUCCGAGUGUGGUCUUCCAGGCGAAGGGUUGUGUGUCCGAGUGUGAUGGUGUCCGCGCUCUUUGGGUUGUUGAUUUGGAUUCUUCGAGCCCUUCUGCGUUUUCAUCGUUGUAUACGAUUAUGUUCGUUUUUCCUUCUCGACAUGGGUCUGGCUCUGUGUGUUGGGUUGUGUGGCCUUUGCGAUUGUAUUUGGGUGGUUUCGUUGUUGUGUCGGGCGUGUGUGAUCCUGACUACGUUGGAUGUGUGUCCAUGAGCGAUUGCGUUGGACUGAUUUCGUUGAAUCGUGAUGGACAGUGUGCGGGCCUGACCAUGUCGGCUUGUGGGGCAGUGUUGGGUUGUAUUUACUUUGCUUCCCCUCUAUGGGCCUGGACCGUGUGUGGUUCUGUCCAUACUGGGUUGUGUGCCUGUGUGCUUGUGUCCUUUAGAAGUGCAUUUGCAAAUCGCUGGGGGGUGGAGGGGAGGGCGAGCAGGAGGAGAUGGAGCCGCAAGUUGAGGAGGCGGCAAGGGGGCGGGGAGAGGGAUUUCACAUUUUAUUCCAAAUUAUGAUGUAUUCGGAAGCCAGUGUUGGCUUGGAUGGGCAGACGGAGCCCGAUCGGCGGCUGCUCUGUCCAGAGGCCAGUCUGUGCCUCGGUGUUUGAGGGGUUUGUUAGUGAGGGGGAGGUUCUUCCAGGCUCGAAGCUGAGCAGCGCUCGCCAAGGCCCGCGCCUUCAAGCCGGUAGCCGCCGGCUCGGGUUUCCGCCGCACCCAGGCUUCAUCCAUUUCUGAAGAGGAGAAAGAAAAUCUCCCGCAUUGGACUGAAACCGCAGGGAAGAAUUAUUCCUAUAUUUCCACCAAAGCCAGGGCAAAAAGGAGUCCUUUGGAAUUAAUCCAGGAUUUCGACUGCCCAGGACCACACCGUGGCCUAACUGCUGGUCUCUCAGCGAGAGAGGGGGAAAGCAAAGACCCCCGUCUGCAACUUGGACCUUGGCUCCCGCCCCUCUCCGGCAGAGUGGAGAUCCUAUUCAGAGGGGCCGGUUUCUCUAAAUAUGCCCCAGCAGGAGGCUGUUUUCAUAGGAGAAAUUUUCCCUGCCGGGAAUUGGCAGCUGCGGGAGACCCUGUUGCCUGCCCGCUCAGGAGCUCCUGGGAUCCCUGUCGUGCUCAGACACAAACGGAAACGUUGCGGCCAUCUGGCAACAGGAGAUGAGGAUCCGGUGUUGGGGGCUUCGAGCUGGUUCUGGGCGGCACAAAGACAGAGGAGUUGUAAUGGUCAAAUAGUCUAGUGUGAGUCUGUUCAAAAGCUUCUCCCCACUCUUUCAUCUUCCCCAAAUAAAAACAAAUGAACAAACAAAAAAUCACUCGGGCUUUCCUUCCAGUAAUCUUAACCGAAGCCAAGUGAUGGGGUGUAGUCCCCUACAACCAAAGGUGCUUAUGAGUCCUCUGUUGGCUUUUUCUGGAGCAUGGACCCCCUCGCCUGGGUGAUCCUGGUUGCUGAACAGCCUGCCGGGUUUUCCUAAGGUCCGGGGAUGGGCGGGGAGAGGUCGGCCACAGACCCUGGGGACCAAUCAUAGGUUUCUUACAGGGAGCCUCGGAGAUAUAGAUAUUUAUAGGCGGCUGGGGAGGGCAUUUGGGGCCAGGGUCAACUCAUCUGGAAUAUGUGAUCCUCUUGCCCCUCCGGGAUCCGCGCCUACACGAAGCCUUGGAAUUAAUCAGAGGGUAUAAAUGUGUCAUAAGGAGAGCUUGAAUUCAGUCUGGUGAUUGCAGUGUGCACCGUUUGUUACUCGGUUAGAAGCUGGGGCUGAAGCACGUGUCACUGGGCACACAACGGUGUGUGGGGACAGUAAGGUAG